AGGAGAUGGAGGACGGCCGACGGUAGCCGCAAGGCAGCUGAGGAAGUUCCCUCCUCCAAGGGCAAGAUGGACAGGCGUAAGCCUGUACGGCGAGAGUCGUGGCAAGGGCCCAGAAACGACACAGCCUGGAUUGAUAGGAUGAUCCGUUCGACGGUGACGUUCCCCAGGAUUUGGUGAAACGGCGACUCCCCAUCGGAGCAAGUCCGCACAACGGGGUAGACCUGCCCGGGACCCGUGGGUAGGACGCGUAGUUGAAUGCCGUCUGAAACAGAAGGGGGGCUACUACCAUCACCU
rnacentral:RNase_P_RNA from 1 species